UAGGUGGCAAGCGUUGUCCGGAUUUAUUGGGCGUAAAGCGAGCGCAGGCGGUUUCUUAAGUCUGAUGGGAAAGCCCUCGGCUCAACCGAGGAAGGUCAUUGGAAACUGGGGAACUUGAAUGCAGAAGAGGAGAGUGGAAUUCCAUGUGUAGCGGUGAAAUGCGUAGAUAUAUGGAGGAACACCAGUGGCGAAGGCGACUCUCUGGUCUGUAAUUGACGCUGAGGCUCGAAAGCGUGGGGAGCAAA
rnacentral:rRNA from 1 species